UACAGAGGGGGGCAAGCGUUGUUCGGAAUUACUGGGCGUAAAGGGCGCGUAGGCGGCCCGCUAAGUCGAACGUGAAAUCCCCGAGCUCAACUCGGGAACUGCGUCCGAUACUGGUGGGCUUGAAUCCGGGAGAGGGAUGCGGAAUUCCAGGUGUAGCGGUGAAAUGCGUAGAUAUCUGGAGGAACACCGGUGGCGAAGGCGGCAUCCUGGACCAAUACUGACGCUGAGGAGCGAAAAGCCAGGGGGAGCAAACGGGG
rnacentral:rRNA from 1 species